GAUACUGAUCCUCGCAGGCAUCUGCGAGGUUCGAAAGCUCCGGCGGUGCAGGAUGAGCCCGCGGCCUAUCAGCUAGUUGGUGAGGUAACGGCUCACCAAGGCGACGACGGGUAGCCGGCCUGAGAGGGCGACCGGCCACACUGGGACUGAGACACGGCCCAGACUCCUACGGGAGGCAGCAGUGGGGAAUAUUGCACAAUGGGCGAAAGCCUGAUGCAGCGACGCCGCGUGAGGGAUGACGGCCUUCGGGUUGUAAACCUCUUUCAGCAGGGAAGAAGCGAAAGUGACGGUACCUGCAGAAGAAGCGCCGGCUAACUACGUGCCAGCAGCCGCGGUAAUACGUAGGGCGCAAGCGUUGUCCGGAAUUAUUGGGCGUAAAGAGCUCGUAGGCGGCUUGUCACGUCGGUUGUGAAAGCCCGGGGCUUAACCCCGGGUCUGCAGUCGAUACGGGCAGGCUAGAGUUCGGUAGGGGAGAUCGGAAUUCCUGGUGUAGCGGUGAAAUGCGCAGAUAUCAGGAGGAACACCGGUGGCGAAGGCGGAUCUCUGGGCCGAUACUGACGCUGAGGAGCGAAAGCGUGGGGAGCGAACAGGAUUAGAUACCCUGGUAGUCCACGCCGUAAACGGUGGGCACUAGGUGUGGGCAACAUUCCACGUUGUCCGUGCCGCAGCUAACGCAUUAAGUGCCCCGCCUGGGGAGUACGGCCGCAAGGCUAAAACUCA
rnacentral:rRNA from 1 species